rnacentral:lncRNA from 1 species
AUGCCCGCCGCACACACCCUCCGGGUGAGGUGGAACGCCCGCCGCACCCAGAGCCCGCCGUCGCUUCCCCUCUCAAUCUCCGCCCUCUGGAAGGCAAACCUGUCCAUGCCGGGGUCAGCCUGGCCGGUCCCACGACACCCCGUGUGGGGCAGGUGUGUCCUCCGGCGCCUGCCGCCCUGGGCUCAGCGUCCGCCCCGUCCCUCCCAGGAGGGUUUCUCCCGCUGUGAACGCGCCCCGUGUGGCCGCCUUCUCCGGACCCAGAGCACCUGCGCCGUGCCUGGUCUUGCCCUUCUCCAGAGCCGGCGGCCCGAGUCUCCCCUGCAGAGGAGGAGAGGCCCAAGGCCGCUGGGGCCGAGCAGGGGAUGCUGUCCACGGGGACCCGAGUCCGCGGCGAGGGGCGGCCGGGCCGACCAGCUCUGCUCCCGCGAGUGCUGUUUGGGAAACUUCUCGGCUCGGGCCUCUAACCUCCCCGCGGUCCGCGCACACCCGACGCCCGUGGGGACCGGGAUCUGGCCGCGCUGCUGGGCCGUGGCGAGCUGGCGUUCGGCACCCAGGACCCACGACGCGCGCUGCGUCUCCGCCUUCGUGACGCCUCAGAGUUCCCGUCACAUUUCAAGACUGCGGGAUCCCGGGGCCCUCGCUGGGUGCACCAGAGGGGUCUCCCCCUGGCGGGACCCUCUUCCCGAGCUCCCGCGGGGCUCCCGGUCGAAGCUGCCCUCCCGGGCCCUCGCGAGCGCCGCCCGCCUCGGGAAAGUCCCCGCACCCGCGCACCCCGCACCUCGGCUUGGGCACCUGGCUGCGCCGCCUCCCCGGGCCCGGCUGCUGCUCCCGCCGGCCUCCCUGCCUUGGAGCGAGUGCCCUUCCCUGACCCGGCGGCGCCGGGCCCUCCCCUCAAUGCCCAGGACCUCCGAGCCAGCCUCGCUCCCUGGUCACGCUGGCAAAAGUGGAACCCUCGGCGAGAGGGCGCGCCCUGAUGCGCGUCCAUGGCCCCCCUCCCGGGGCUCCCCACAGUUAGGACGCCGCAGGUGA